CAGAGAUCCAGCAAUAUUAGACAGAAAUCCAAGAACAGCAACAAGCAUGUGAUUCUGCCUCCAAGAGCAGCAUCCACAAUUCCUUAUCUCCUGCAGGAUGCUGUUUUGUUCUUUUCCCAGGGACAUUAAGCGUAAGUGUAAAAGCUGUGGUUCUCUGUGAAAAUGACCACAGAUGAUUUUCCUUGCAAUUUGUAUAGGCCACAUUUUCCUGACCAGCUAGGGAGGACACUGCACAUUUGAUGGUGAUGACGUUUGGCCUUUUUGUUUUAUGUGCCAUGGUGCAUUCUCUCUGGUAGCCUCAGAAGUUACAAGAGCUUACCUCACUCUUCAGGAACAAACUACAGCAAUGAUUCAUCUCCCCAUAUUUCCCAGCCUCCUGAUCCACUGCUAAGUGAAGAUAGGGAGGAGCCAUCACAUCACGUUGAUAGAAUAGACGCAGAGGGGACUUGGUGA